rnacentral:rRNA from 1 species
GCCCCGACCAGUAGGGUGGCGUGCCGGUGAGCGUUGAAGGCCAAGACGUGAGUCAGGCUGGAGCCGCCGGUAGUGCAAUUUKGGUGGUAGUAGCAAGUACUCUGGUGAACCAACCUGGAGCUGUGAGGUCUGGAUCAGGGUUCCAUGUCAACAGUGAUUGAACAUGGGUGAGUCGAUCCUAAGCCAACUGUGAAAGCAGUGACAUCCCGACAAGGGGCAAAUCGUGUGGCUUGGCUGCCACGCACGCGUUUGUGUGCACAUUCGCAAGUCUCCUCUCUCAWAUAUAUGGUCGCGCGCGCAUGCAAACCUGGUGCGCGUGUGUGUGUCUCACUGGUUACGCUCUAAAAGCGUUGGAWGGAUGGAGAGAGAGAAAACGAGGCAGUGCCGCGCGCGUGUGUGUGUGUGCGUUCUUUUUCUCGAUGCUCCCUGCGUCUGGUUCUAUGUCUGGCGAAAGGGAAUGGGGACUUUGUUCCUUGACCGGUCCCGGCACCCUCGAUAGGCUUUGCCAAUCAAUGGUCCAUGCAAAUGGAACCAGGCCACAGCCGCCGGCAGUCGCCCGAGGAAGAGUUUUCUUUUCUGCUUAACGCACGAGAUCAUCCCUGGAAACAGUUCGGCUGGCGAAAGGGUGCCCCGUUGCGGCAGAGCGCCACGACUGUCGUGCGCGUCUCGGUGUUCCUGCCGGUCCGUGAAGACGUGGUCGAGGGGAUUGCUAUUUGUAUCAACGAAACGCCCGACAAGUUCGGGACGGACCGUACCCUAUAUCCGCAUCUGGUCUCCAAGGUUCGUAGCCUCUGCAGAGUCAGACACAUGUAGGUAAGGGAAGUCGGCAAACUCGAUCCGUAACUUCGGGAAAAGGAUUGGCUCUGAGGGCCGAGCUGGGCCGGGCCUUGCCUGCAAAGCAGUACCUAUAGUGACCGGAGUUUCAGGAGUGCGAGGGGCUCUAGUAGCUGCCUGCGCGUUCACGCGUGUAGGCACGAACGAGUCUACCGCUCCGCUCCAACCACGAACGGCUGUGACGGCAAGGGCUCUGGGCGGGAGCGUUCAAUCCGUUUGUCCCCAGCUCGUCUGGGGGCGGCGGUGCUCCGUCUGACCCAUACGGCUCCAGCGGCUAGCGGCUAACUCAGAACUGUCAUGGACCAAGGGAAUCCGACUGUCUAAUUAAAACAAAGCGUCGU